UACGGAGGGUGCAAGCAUUGAUCGGAAUUACUGGGCGUAAAGGGCGCGUAGGCGGUUAGAUAAGUCAGAUGUGAAAUUCCGGGGCUCAACCCCGGAGCUGCAUUUGAAACUGUCUAGCUAGAGUUCAGUUAGGGUAAACGGAAUUCCACGUGUAGCGGUGAAAUGCGUAGAUAUGUGGAAGAACACCGGUGGUGAAGACGGUUUACUGGGCUGAUACUGACGCUGAGGCGCGAAAGCAUGGGGAGCAAACAGG
rnacentral:rRNA from 1 species